rnacentral:rRNA from 1 species
UACGUAGGGUGCAGGCGUUAAUCGGAAUUACUGGGCGUAAAGCGUGCGCAGGCGGUUUGCUAAGACAGGUGUGAAAUCCCCGGGCUUAACCUGGGAACUGCGCUUGUAACUGGCAAGCUGGAGUGUGGCAGAGGGGGGUGGAAUUCCACGUGUAGCAGUGAAAUGCGUAGAGAUGUGGAGGAACACCAGUGGCGAAGGCGACACACUGGCUCACUACUGACGCUGAGGCGCGAAAGCGUGGGGAGCAAACAGG